GUGAACGCUGGCGGUAGGCCUAACACAUGCAAGUCGAACGGCAGCACCGUAAGAGCUUGCUCUUACGGGUGGCGAGUGGCGGACGGGUGAGGAAUACAUCGGAAUCUACUUUUUCGUGGGGGAUAACGUAGGGAAACUUACGCUAAUACCGCAUACGACCUACGGGUGAAAGCAGGGGAUCUUCGGACCUUGCGCGAUUGAAUGAGCCGAUGUCGGAUUAGCUAGUUGGCGGGGUAAAGGCCCACCAAGGCGACGAUCCGUAGCUGGUCUGAGAGGAUGAUCAGCCACACUGGAACUGAGACACGGUCCAGACUCCUACGGGAGGCAGCAGUGGGGAAUAUUGGACAAUGGGCGCAAGCCUGAUCCAGCCAUACCGCGUGGGUGAAGAAGGUCUUCGGGUUGUAAAGCCCUUUUGUUGGGAAAGAAAAGCAGCAGGUUAAUACCCCGCUGUUCUGACGGUACCCAAAGAAUAAGCACCGGCUAACUUCGUG
rnacentral:rRNA from 1 species